GUCUGGUGCCAGCAGCCGCGGUAAUUCCAGCUCCAAUAGCGUAUAUUAAAGUUGUUGUGGUUAAAAAGCUCGUAGUUGGAUCUCGGCGGACAGAAGUCGGUCCGAAUGCUUUCGGCACUGGCUUGUUUGUCCGUGUGUUUUGCCAGAGGCAGGCGGGUGCUCUUCGCCGAGUGUCCGUUUGUGCUGGCAGGUUUACUUUGAAAAAAUUAGAGUGCUCAAAGCAAGCUCUCACGCUUGAAUAUUCGUGCAUGGAAUAAUAGAAUAGGAUGUCGUUUCUAUUUUGUUGGUUUUCGGAAAUCGACAUAAUGAUUAAUAGGGACAGUCGGGGGCAUUCGUACUGCGGCGACAGAGA
rnacentral:rRNA from 1 species